GAUGAAGAACGUAGCGAAAUGCGAUAAGUAAUGUGAAUUGCAGAAUUCAGUGAAUCAUCGAAUCUUUGAACGCACCUUGCGCUCCUUGGUAUUCCGAGGAGCAUGCCUGUUUGAGUGUCAUUAAAUUCUCAAUCUCUCUUAACUUUGUUUAGAAGAUUGGAUGUGGGGGAUUUUGUGAGCACAAUGUUGUGUUCACUCCCCUGAAAUAUAUUAGCUGGAAUGCCUUUGCAAACCAACUAUCAGUUUGAUAAUUAUCAGUACUGGCGUUGCUGCAUAAAGGGAAUCUGCUUUCGAAUUGUCCUUAUAGGACAAAAUGAAUGACUUUGACCUCAAAUCAGGUAGGACUACCCGCUGAACUUAAGCAUAUCAAUAAGCGGAGGA
rnacentral:misc_RNA from 1 species